UACGAAGGGGGCUAGCGUUGCUCGGAAUCACUGGGCGUAAAGCGCACGUAGGCGGCUUGUUAAGUCAGGGGUGAAAUCCUGGAGCUCAACUCCAGAACUGCCUUUGAUACUGGCGAGCUUGAGUCCGGGGAGAGGUGAGUGGAACUGCGAGUGUAGAGGUGAAAUUCGUAGAUAUUCGCAAGAACACCAGUGGCGAAGGCGGCUCACUGGCCCGGUACUGACGCUGAGGUGCGAAAGCGUGGGGAGCAAACAGG
rnacentral:rRNA from 1 species